AUUUUUGACACUGGGGAAACACUGAUCCAGCCAUCCCGCGUGUGCGAUGAAGGCCUCCGGCUUGUAAAGCACUUUUGUCAGGGAGGUAAAGGUUCUGGCUAAUACCCGGAACUGAUGACGGUACCUGAAGAAUAAGCACCGGCUAACUACGUGCCAGCAGCCGGGGUAAUACGUAGGGUGAAAGCGUUAAGCGGAAUUAGCGGGCGUAAAGCGUGCGCAGGCGGUUCGGAAAGAAGGAUGUGAAAUCCCAGGGCUCAACCUUGGAACUGCAUUCUUAACUACCGAACUAGAGUAUGUCAGAGGGGGGUAGAAUUCCGCGUGUAGCAGUGAAAUGCGUAGAUAUGCGGAGGAAUACCGAUGGCGAAGGCAGCCCCCUGGGAUAAUACUGACGCUCAUGCACGAAGGCGUGGGUAGCAAACAGG
rnacentral:rRNA from 1 species